GAACGCAGCGAAAUGCGAUACGUAAUGCGAAUUGCAAGACCUCGUGAAUCAUUAAGAUUUUGAACGCACAUUGCGCUUUCGGGAUUUUCCCGGUAGCAUGCUUGUCUGAGUGUCUGUGGAUCCCACUCAGCACUGGUCUAUUCUGUAGGCUAGUCGC
rnacentral:rRNA from 1 species